rnacentral:rRNA from 1 species
UACAGAGGGUGCGAGCGUUAAUCGGAAUUACUGGGCGUAAAGCGCACGUAGGCGGCUUGGUAUGUCGGGUGUGAAAUCCCCGGGCUCAACCUGGGAACUGCAUCCGAAACUGCCUUGCUCGAGUAUGGGAGAGGGAAGUGGAAUUUCCGGUGUAGCGGUGAAAUUCGUAGAUAUUCGGAGGAACACCAGUGGCGAAGGCAGCUCGCUGGGACGUGACUGACGCUGAGACGCGAAAGCGUGGGGAGCAAACAGG